rnacentral:rRNA from 1 species
UACGGAGGAUGCGAGCGUUAUCCGGAUUUAUUGGGUUUAAAGGGUGCGUAGGCGGCUUUUUAAGUCAGCGGUGAAAUUUUGCAGCUUAACUGUAACAGUGCCGUUGAUACUGGGGAGCUAGGAUUUGGUUGCUGUGGGUGGAAUGUGUGGUGUAGCGGUGAAAUGCUUAGAGAUCACACAGAAUAUCGAUUGCGAAGGCAGCUUACUAAUCCAUCAUUGACGCUGAGGCACGAAAGCGUGGGGAUCAAACAGGAUUA